rnacentral:lncRNA from 1 species
GGUCGAACAACAUGGUGAAUAUGUAUGUAUGUCUUAUUGUUGUUAUUAGUUUUCAGUAUGAAUUUACCCUAGCAGUUCAGGAACAGAAACGCCUUCUUAUAACAGACCCGGAUUAUACUGAUAAUCAACAAAUCCUCAGAGACAUCCAGUCGCUAAAGGCAGCACUUGAUGUAUUCAAACAUGAAAUGACACAAACCAAUACUGCUCAUUCAACUUUGAUACAACAACAGGCCUCUGAAAUCGCAAAUUUAAAGAUCAAGUUACAGCAAAUAACAUCAGGUAUUUUGUAAUCUUAUAUUUAUCAUGUAAUUUGUCACAUUUUUUAAGAGUACUCAACUAGUCCAAUGCGUUUUAGGGAAAACAUUUAACGCUAUGUACUAACUACUUUAUUUUCUGCGGUUAAAUUUCUUUACUUUUAGUCUUCCUAAAAAAAAAGUAAUUAUUCAUUUUUUUUCUCCUAAGAAGUAUUGUGGUCUGUAUGUAAUACUUAACAUUACGGGAAAUAUUUCUACAGACUAGCAUCAUUUAAUUUGACCAAGUGAAUAAUAAUACAUAUUUCACAGCUGUUUUUACCUACUCGAAAAAAAGUGACGACAAUGCUGGGAGAUAUUUCAAAAUCCUAAAACCCUAUUAAUAUUGCUUAUGGAAUUCAGCAUAUUGUCUAUUUAUAAAUACAAAAUAAAGUGGAGGAAAAUUAACAACAACAUGUAAGACGAUCAUAUUCUCUUAAAUCGUACAAGAUAUGCGUACUUAUAUAUAUAUAUAUAUUAUAUAUAUAUAUAUAUAUAUAUAGGUUUUUCCAAGAAAUAGGAAUAUUUCUUUUAAAAUAUGUAACAUGUAAUUUUAUCAUUUAUAUAAAUUGUUAAACACUACUAAAUGAUCUACUCGUUUAUUGUUCAUUAAUUUGACUUUACAAACUAUAACUUUUUUUAUGAAUUACCUCUUUUAUCAAAAACAUGUCUUUGAAGUAUUGUAUGAAACGUUUCAAUAGGAUUUGAGGAAGUAAUGAAAUCCAGAGUAUAUUUGUUCGGUCAUCAACACGUUGAAUGAAACGAUAUAUUUCUGAAUUCUGUAGCAACAUGUUUUUCUCGGCCAUAUAUUUUGAUAUGAUCGAAUUGUUAAUUGUUAUGGAAAUUUAGUAACUGUAUCCUAAUCCCUAUUUUGACAUUUUACUAAUAAUUGAUUUGUAUGAGGUUUAUACAUUCUUAGCAGGAAAAACAUACCUUAUCGACGCAUCAGGUUCCAUUUCUUCUGAUUGGUGCAGUUCUCUCAGGAUUGAUUUUGUACAUUGUUUUUUAUGUUCCCAAAUAGAUAAAUGAAAUUUGAACAAUACUAUUUAUUACUGUACAAUAAACCAGGAAUAGAAGACACAGCAAAUACAAUAAAUAUAAUACAAAACGAUGCAAAACACGCAACAGUGCAAUUGAAUAUUGACCAAUACAAUAUAUGUAUUAUGCAUUACAAUACCAUGUAACUAGUCAAGAAAAAUCGUAUAUUUUUAUUACAGCUCCAAGUGGAUCAGUUUACAUACAGUGGGGGAGAAAAUCUUGUACCAGAAAUGGUACCGAACUCGUUUAUUCAGGUUUGAAAAUAACAUAAUGAAUAUAGCUACGUU